rnacentral:rRNA from 1 species
AUGGAAUAGGACCCUGUCCUCCUAUUUUCAGUUGGUUUGCCGCGAGGACCAGGGUAAUGAUUAAUAGGGAUAGUUGGGGGCAUUAAUAUUUAAUUGUCAGAGGUGAAAUUCUUGGAUUUAUGAAAGAUUAACUUCUGCGAAAGCAUCUGCCAAGGAUGUUUUCAUUAAUCAAGAACGAAAGUUAGGGGAUCGAAGACGAUCAGAUACCGUCGUAGUCUUAACCAUAAACGAUGCCGACCAGCGAUUAGGAGACGUUGAAUACAAAACACCACCAUGCGCAUUGCGGUCGUCUUUGGUGUCGCUCACAAGGCGGCACCGGGGCGGCUUAGCUCGCAUGGCACCGGUGAAUG